rnacentral:rRNA from 1 species
AUACGUAGGGUGCAAGCGUUGUCCGGAAUUAUUGGGCGUAAAGAGCUCGUAGGCGGCUUGUCGCGUCUGCUGUGAAAUCCCGGAGCUCAACUCCGGGCGUGCAGUGGGUACGGGCAGGCUAGAGUGCGGUAGGGGAGAUUGGAAUUCCUGGUGUAGCGGUGGAAUGCGCAGAUAUCAGGAGGAACACCGAUGGCGAAGGCAGAUCUCUGGGCCGCUACUGACGCUGAGGAGCGAAAGCAUGGGGAGCGAACAGGAUUAGAUACCCUGGUAGUCCAUGCCGUAAACGUUGGGAACUAGAUGUAGGGCCUGUUCCACGGGUUCUGUGUCGUAGCUAACGCAUUAAGUUCCCCGCCUGGGGAGUACGGCCGCAAGGCUAAA